UGCAAUGCUAACUAUGGAGUGAAGUCCCUUAGGAAGCAGGACUGCCUGAGGCAACUCUGAAACCCUACACAGGCUCACAGAAAACCCGAGCCUCAAAAUGAGCCAUUUCCUGCCCCUUCAAGUCUUCUUGACAUGAUUAUGCUUGUGAUUCACUACAGCGGGAGAUCCUCACUAAAGCAGCUACUUUGGGAUAAUGGCAACUUCGUAAUCUAAAGAAUGAAUACUGAUUCUGAACAACAAGCACUGGACCCUACUCAUAUUAUUGCUGUUUACAAGGAACCCAUGCCAAAGCUGUCUUGGGGAGUACUCACCAGAUCAUCGGGACAGUCAGCAUGCAGACCAGCAACUUCUAAGUAACUGCCUUCAGUCGAAAAAUUUGAUCGAAUAUGCUCUGGCAAAACA